AGAGUUUGAUCCUGGCUCAGGAUGAACGCCGGCGGUGUGCCUAAUACAUGCAAGUCGUACGCACUGGCCCAACUGAUUGAUGGUGCUUGCACCUGAUUGACGAUGGAUCACCAGUGAGUGGCGGACGGGUGAGUAACACGUAGGUAACCUGCCCCGGAGCGGGGGAUAACAUUUGGAAACAGAUGCUAAUACCGCAUAACAACAAAAGCCACAUGGCUUUUGCUUGAAAGAUGGCUUUGGCUACCACUCUGGGAUGGACCUGCGGUGCAUUAGCUAGUUGGUAAGGUAACGGCUUACCAAGGCGAUGAUGCAUAGCCGAGUUGAGAGACUGAUCGGCCACAAUGGAACUGAGACACGGUCCAUACUCCUACGGGAGGCAGCAGUAGGGAAUCUUCCACAAUGGGCGCAAGCCUGAUGGAGCAACACCGCGUGAGUGAAGAAGGGUUUCGGCUCGUAAAGCUCUGUUGUUGGAGAAGAACGUGCGUGAGAGUAACUGUUCACGCAGUGACGGUAUCCAACCAGAAAGUCACGGCUAACUACGUGCCAGCAGCCGCGGU
rnacentral:rRNA from 1 species